rnacentral:lncRNA from 1 species
AUGGUCUCAGAGACCCUGACUCUCAGCCGAAGGACCCUGUGCCCAGAGGAGUGGGGGCUCCUGGGGAGUGUCCGGCCCUCCCUGAGUCCUUCUGGAGAGACCGUCAGUACUCCAUUCUCACCCCUGCUUGGUUCCCACGAUGCUCUGAGGACUGUGGAUACCCCUCCAUGUGCUGUGUUACGUACGUCCCUCAACACAACACCCACCUUGGAAAAAGGUACUGGACCCUGCAGGCCAGGCAGAGGGAAGGGACGGAGAAGGAAGAAGUGUCAGAUGUGUGAGUACAUUCUGUAUCUGCUGCCGGAGCUUCUGGGGCAGGUGUAGUUGGCGCUUACGGGGAGGGCACUCACCGUGGUCCUCCCAGGGACACUCCAGGCUGGGUUUGCAGCUGUGGCCGCCAGACUGGCAGCUGCUAGCCCCCUGGCUCCAGUUUGCCAGACGCCACUGUCUAUACUGACUUACCUUCGGCCUCCUGUGCCGCUUGCCUGAGCCCUUCUCCAGACAGACCCCUGUCCCGGUGUCAGCACAGCCCCACCAGAAGCACUGGGAGACCUUGACCAGGCCUGGGAAGGGGAGGGAUGCCCGGAAACCCUCACAGGAGAGUGCAGCUCCCUGCAGAGAUGGGUGGCCUCCAGGUGCUCCCCAGUCAUCCUGCUGGUGGAACUCUCACCCCUGUGAGGUCCCCUCCCUUUGAGCGUGAGCCGGACCUAGUCACCCGCAUCCACAUCAUGCAAAUGGAAUAGACUCAAGUCAUAGGAUGCUGUUUCUUUUUUUUAAUAAUAAAUUUAUUUUUUAUUGGUGUUCA